GACGAACGCUGGCGGCGUGCUUAACACAUGCAAGUCGAACGAUGAAGCCGGAGCUUGCUCUGGUGAAUUAGUGGCGAACGGGUGAGUAACACGUGAGUAACCUGCCCUUGACUCUGGGAUAACUGCUAGAAAUGGUAGCUAAUACCGGAUACGACCCUCGGCGGCAUCGCCAGGGGGUGGAAAGAAUUUCGGUCGAGGAUGGACUCGGGGCCUAUCAGCUAGUUGGGGAGGUAACGGCUCACCAAAGCGACGACGGGUAGCCGGCCUGAGAGGGUGACCGGCCACACUGGGACUGAGACACGGCCCAGACUCCUACGGGAGGCAGCAGUGGGGAAUAUUGCACAAUGGGCGCAAGCCUGAUGCAGCAACGCCGCGUGAGGGAUGACGGCCUUCGGGUUGUAAACCUCUUUUAGUAGGGAAGAAGCGAAAGUGACGGUACCUGCAGAAAAAGCACCGGCUAACUACGUGCCAGCCGCCGCGGUAA
rnacentral:rRNA from 1 species